rnacentral:misc_RNA from 1 species
GAUGAAGAACGUAGCGAAAUGCGAUACGUAAUGUGAAUUGCAGAAUUCAGUGAAUCAUCGAAUCUUUGAACGCACAUUGCACUCUCUGGUAUUCCGGAGAGUAUGCUUGUUUAAGUAUCUGUAAACAUCUCAAAUCUCUCUUCGCUUGCGUCGAGAGAAUUGGAUUUGAGCGAUCCCGACUCCUUCGUCAGAAAGAGGAGGGUCGCUUGAAAUGCAGGUGCAGCUGGACAUUCUUCUGAGCUAAAAGCAUAUCUAUUUAGUCCCGUCAAACGGAUUAUUACUUUUGCUUCAGCUAAUAUAAAGGUCGAAUGAACUACCAACGCUGAUUGCAGGAAAACUCGUUUGUAACAGAACUUGUAAACUCGAUCUCAAAUCAAGUAAGACUACCCGCUGAACUUAAGCAUAUCAAUAAGCGGAGGA